CCGGAGAGCCUGUACGGCGGUGUGCUCGCGAACCGGGUCAGGUCCUAACGGAAGCAGCCCUAAGUGUGUCACACCGGGUGUACAGAUCCUCGAAGGC
rnacentral:SRP_RNA from 1 species